GAAAUGGCUGAAAUAAAAUGGAGUGGUUUAAGGAGGAGAAUAGAAGGGCUGAAAGGUUUAGGAGCGCGUUGCGGUGGGAGAUGUCGAUAUGAGCAGAGAAACACAGGAAUAAACCCCAAUUAAAAGAGUCUUAAUGAUAAGAUGCUGAGAGGGAUGGCACAGAUGGAAGGAGUAGAUAAUGACUAGAAGUUACAUACUUUUGGACAAAGUCUAGGAAUUCACUUUCCAGUUAGAGGUUUAUUUCAAUGAACCACAAAUGAUGAAAGCUUCCUCCCCUCUUCCUGACUCUUAAUAUUGUAAUA